UUAAUUGAAGAGUUUGAUCAUGGCUCAGAUUGAACGCUGGCGGCAGGCCUAACACAUGCAAGUCGAACGGUAACAGGGAGCAGCUUGCUGCUCUGCUGACGAGUGGCGGACGGGUGAGUAAUGUCUGGGAAACUGCCUGAUGGAGGGGGAUAACUACUGGAAACGGUAGCUAAUACCGCAUAACGUCUUCGGACCAAAGUGGGGGACCUUCGGUCCUCAUGCCAUCCUCUGUGCCCAGCUGGGAUUCGCUAGUCGGUGGGGUA
rnacentral:rRNA from 1 species